CACACAUACACCCCCACACACAGUCUCCUGGGCGGGUCCAGUCUCAGCUCAUGUCCCGGCCCCCGGCCCAUACACAGUCUCCUGGGCGGGUCCAGUCUCAGCUCAUGUCCCGGCCCCCGGCCCAUACACAGUCUCCUGGGCGGGUCCAGUCUCAGCUCAUGUCCCGGCCCCCGGCCCAUACACAGUCUCCUGGGCGGGUCCAGUCUCAGCUCAUGUCCCGGCCCCCGGCCCAUACACAGUCUCCUGGGCGGGUCCAGUCUCAGCUCAUGUCCCGGCCCCCGGCCCAUACACAGUCUCCUGGGCGGGUCCAGUCUCAGCUCAUGUCCCGGCCCCCGGCCCAUACACAGUCUCCUGGGCGGGUCCAGUCUCAGCUCAUGUCCCGGCCCCCGGCCCAUACACAGUCUCCUGGGCGGGUCCAGUCUCAGCUCAUGUCCCGGCCCCCGGCCCAUACACAGUCUCCUGGGCGGGUCCAGUCUCAGCUCAUGCAGGCCAUGCAGACUCAGUCACAGGCAGCGGCCGCUCCAACCCAGCAACAGCAGAGGCUCGCAACACAUCCUCACUCACACCCUCACACACACCCUCACUCACAUGCUCACACACACUUGCAGCAGGCGGGACAGGGGAUGUUGUUCCCCCAGCAACAGAGCACCAUCCACCCGGCACAGAAAGGGCUCAAGCAGAUACUACAUCCACAACCAUCACCACGGAUCAAAACUGAGCCUUUCAAUACAGGUCCUCUGAGGGAGAGCCCCUCCCCUCUGAUGAUACAUUCACAGUCCCCUUCCCAGCCCAAGAAACCUGUGAGUACACAAAGAGAGUGUGUGUGUACAGUGUGUGUGUGUGUACUGUACAUUGUGUGUGUGUGUUAACCCUGUGUGUUCACUGCAGAACCAAAGGGUGAAAGAGGAGAAGCCGCUCCCCUCCCCGGUGCUGCCCCCCUCCCCCUUCAGCCCCGCCCAGCGACACCACAAACCACAAGACAACAAACACACACACAGUGAGUACACACACCUGGCUCUGUGUGUGUAAGAAGCGUUAGGGAGAGAACGGGAGAGAUUUCUCUGUGUGUCUCUCUGCCUCGACGGUAGAGUGUCUAUUUUAGAAUUUCUUCACAGUGAAUGGUUAAUACAGGUAACCUAAUCAUUUGACUCCUGCAGGAUCAGAUGUGAAGCUAUUGGACGGUUCUCGUCCUGGGCUCCGCCUCCCGGACUCCCCGGCCCCUCCCCCUUCCCAUCAGGACAGCAAACUGAAGCAGGAGGCUAAAACUCCCAUCACUGCCAAGAAGACACAGGUGUGAGAGAGUCAGAAUCAUACUAGAACAAAGCAUGUAGAUUCAGGACUUCAUUUAAAGGAGAAGUUUCCUUUUUUAUAUGUAAAUAGCAUAUUAUAGAAGGGUCCGUGUGAUUUCACAUGUUUUUGAGAAACCUGAGCAAAUCACUUCCUCAUCCUCGUUGUGUAGUAUAUGGGGGUCACGAAAAAACACGAACACGGGCUCCAAAAACACCCAAAUAUGUCCUUUUAUAAAGGACAAAGCUCUCAGUAUUGUAAUGCAGGUCUGUAGAUGUUGUACACAUGACGUUGUGUCAUUCUGAACUUCAGCUACAACGUUGUAUUCUAUUUUGUUCAACUAAAGAGAUAUUUCAAUGCACGCGCAUGUGUGUACUUCCUCGUUCCCAAACCCUUAGGGAGGCGUGGUUCAGAAGCACACUCCAGUCUGCAAUAAGGUGUCUGCUGUAAAAACACAGCUGGCGAUUACUCAUCGACAAUAAGGUGUCUGCUGUAAAAACACAGCUGGCGAUUACUCAUCUGCAAUAAGGUGUCUGCUGUAAAAACACACAGCUGGCGGUUACUAAAUACCAAGCUAGCUAGUUAUUUUUCCUUUCAAACCGCUACGCUACCGACAUGUCUGACUACGAAUACAAAAAGGAAAUGUUAGAAUUUGGGGCCGAGCCUUAUUUAUUUGAACCGGAAUACACCGACGAGGAUCUUUAGCAGAGAGCAAGAGAGCGAGGUGUUCAACCAGAAGCUGAGGCCCGACUCGGGACGGGUGGUGCACUGGUGAGCGAUGCCCACUGAAGACGAGUGACUUUGCUGCGUGGAGUGGGACCUGCUUGUGCCAGCCUUGUAAAAUCUAGAUGUGUCUGGUGACGAGACACCGUUGUCCCGCUAGCACACCCCACUCUGUGCAACAAGUGACAAUGACUUUUCAGCACGCAUCUUCCCUGCUCUCCUAGAAACGUUUUCAAUUUCAAAUUGAGUAAUGGGAGAACGCGUGUAAAACUUUUAUUUCACUGUUGAAGAACAUAUAAUAACAUAAUGACAGUAACAUGGACUACAUGGUGGAUGGGAGGAUACAUAUUGACAGUAACAUGGACUACAUAGUGGAUGGGAGGAUACAUAUUGACAGUAACAUGGACUACAUGGAGGAUUGGAGAAUACAUAUUGACAGUAACAUGGACUACAUGGAGGAUACAUAUUGACAGUAACAUGGGCUACAUGGUGGAUGGGAGAAUACAUAAUGACAGUAGCAUGGACUACAUGAUGGAUGGGAGGAUACAUAUUGACAGUAUCAGUUCAGUAACAUGGACUACAUUGUGGAUGGGAGGAUACAUAUUGACAGCAGCAUGGGCUACAUGGUAGAUGGGAGAAUACAUACUGACAGUAACAUGGACUACAUGGUAGAUGGGAGAAUACAUAUUGACAGUAACAUGGACUACAUGGAGGAUAGGAGAAUAAAUAUUGACAGUAACAUGGACUACAUGGAAGAUACAUAUUGACAGUAACAUGGGCCACAUGGUGGAUGGGAGAAUACAUAUUGACAGUAACAUGGACUACAUGGAGGAUACAUAUUGACAGUAACAUGGGCUACAUGGUGGAUGGGAGAAUACAUAUUGACAGUAGCAUGGACUACAUGGUAGAUGGGAGAAUACAUAUUGACAGUAACAUGGACUACAUGGAGGAUACAUAUUGACAGUAACAUGGCCUACAUGGUGGAUGGGAGGAUACAUAUUGACAGUAGCAUGGACUACAUGGUAGAUGGGAGGAUACAUAUUGACAGUAACAUGGACUACAUGGUGGAUGGGAGGAUACAUAUUGACAGUAACAUGGACUACAUGGUAGAUGGGAGGAUACAUAUUGACAGUAACAUGGACUACAUGGUGGAUGGGAGGAUACAUAUUGACAAUAUCAGUUCAGUAACAUGGACUAANNNNNNNNNNNNNNNNNNNNNNNNNNNNNNNNNNNNNNNNNNNNNNNNNNNNNNNNNNNNNNNNNNNNNNNNNNNNNNNNNNNNNNNNNNNNNNNNNNNNUGGUGCUGACACCGAUAUGGUGCUGACUCCAACAUGUUGCAUUCUGACAUAGACAUGAUGCUGACACAGACAUGGUGCUGUCUGA
rnacentral:lncRNA from 8 species